UUCAAUGUAAGUGCUAUAAAAGGACGAGAUCUCUGGUUGAUUUCGAAAUUGGAACAACUGCAGCGGGCAUGGUGGUGUCACCUGGCAGUUCAACUGAUUGGACUAUUGUUGGUGCAGCACUUGGAUCAGUUGCGGCACUUUCUAUUGCUGUGGGAAUAUUUCUAGUUUUUGUAUGGAGGUCAAGAAGUCGACGAAACAAUAAGUCGAAUGGAAAAGCAAAAAGAGAUCAUAGACUGAGCUUGAAAUGACGGAUCCUUCUCAAAGCCAGCAGUACAUGACAUUGGACGAGAGGGCUCGACACACUAAACCAGUCAGAGAAUA